UCUGUUAAUACAAUUCAAUUUUCUAAAUUCUCGAAAUUGCAAUCUCUCUCAAAAAUGUUAAAGUUCUGCCAAUUCUCGUGUGUCGUGUAUAUAUACGUCACAAGUUGAAAAGGACAGGGACGCGUCCAAGAUCGCCGGCAAACCGGAGAAAGUUUAAAUUAACUCGCAAUAUCUGGCGGCUGUUAGCUACGCCAACUCUGAUCCAAAGCACGGCCGCAGACAUAAUAGUUGCAUUAUCGCUGCCAACGGGUAUUUCCUAGCUGGCAUUUCGAGAAGAGAUGAUCGGACAGUUUAAACGUUCGGGCCAACACUUAAUCGAUCGGGCCGCGGUGGUUAUCAGCACCGAAAUAGAGGCGCGACUAGUGGGAAGAGCAAAUGUGAACUUUGUUCGACAGUUGCAAAUUUGGGUGCAAUGGACGAAAAAGGACGAAAAAUCAGGCGCAGAGAUGGACAGAUAGAGGGAAAGAGAAUGUUAUUCACUCGCGAUUUUUCAUACGAAAAUGAUUUCCAUAGGAACGAGAGAUUAUUUCUCUCAAGCAUGUGGAAACCAUUUGGACGCCGCUUCUCUCGUCACGGAUAACUGGUAAAAGGAUGGAAAUUAACUUCAAAAGAUUGCCUAAACGUUUUCCUUCCAAUAUAUAACGCAAUCGACUUCAAUCUUUGAGUUAUUUGCGAAAGACAUUAAUAAAAUUACAGCAUUGAAUUCUUUCUACUAUUACUCUAAGUUAAAAAGAAAAAAUAUGAGAUGGAGAAAAAACGUAUGUAUAAUCCGUGAAUCCUAUAUUUGCAUUCUAUAUAUUCUGUAUCCUAUAUAUCCUGUAUCGUGCGUAUUCUAUAUAUCCUAACUCUUGGAAAUAAGUAAAUUGUCAAAAAACGAUUAAUUGCGCAAUAUAUGACAAAUAAGUAAGUAAUGUAGUAAGUUAAAAUAUAGAAAAAUUUUAUAUAUUAUUAUAUCUACAAUUACAUUUUGUAAUUACAAAAACGAAAAUUUAAACAAAUAUU